ensembl:snRNA U6 U6 spliceosomal RNA
GUGCUCCUCUUGGCAGCACAUAUACUAAAAUUGGAAUGUUACAAAGAUUAGGAUGGCCCCUGCGCAAGAAUGACAGGCAAAUUCAUGAAGCGUUCCAUUAUUUU